rnacentral:rRNA from 1 species
CCUCUACCAGUGGAAGGCUACUGUUUGGAGAUGAGCCCGCGUACCAUUAGCUUGUUGGUAGGGUAAUGGCCUACCAAGGCGACGAUGGUUAGCUGGUCUGAGAGGAUGAUCAGCCACACUGGAACUGACACACGGUCCAG